rnacentral:rRNA from 1 species
AUUGAACGCUGGCGGCAUGCCUUACACAUGCAAGUCGAACGGCAGCAUGAUCUAGCUUGCUAGAUUGAUGGCGAGUGGCGAACGGGUGAGUAAUACAUCGGAACGUGCCCUGUAGUGGGGGAUAACUCGUCGAAAGAUUAGCUAAUACCGCAUACGACCUGAGGGUGAAAGUGGGGGACCGCAAGGCCUCAUGCUAUAGGAGCGGCCGAUGUCUGAUUAGCUAGUUGGUGAGGUAAAGGCUCACCAAGGCGACGAUCAGUAGCUGGUCUGAGAGGACGAUCAGCCACACUGGGACUGAGACACGGCCCAGACUCCUACGGGAGGCAGCAGUGGGGAAUUUUGGACAAUGGGCGAAAGCCUGAUCCAGCAAUGCCGCGUGUGUGAAGAAGGCCUUCGGGUUGUAAAGCACUUUUGUCCGGAAAGAAAUGGCUCUGGUUAAUACCUGGGGUCGAUGACGGUACCGGAAGAAUAAGGACCGGCUAACUACGUG